GAUGAACGCUGACAGAAUGCUUAACACAUGCAAGUCUACCUGAACUUCGGUUUGGGUGUCGGACGGGUGAGUAACGCGUAAAGAACUUUCCUCACAGUUAGGGACAAUAUUUUUUAACGAAUGCUAAUACCUGAUAUUAUGAUUUUAGAGCAUCUUAGAAUUAUGAAAGCUAUCUGCGCUGUGUGAGAGCUUUGCGUCCUAUUAGCUCGUUGGAGAGGUAACGGCUCACCAAGGCGAUGAUGGGUAGCCGGCCUGAGAGGGUGAACGGCCACAAGGGGACUGAGACACGGCCCUUACUCAAACGGGAGGAAGCAGUGGGGAACAUUGGAAAACGGACCAAAAGUGUGAUCCAGCACUUCUGUGUGCAAGAUGACGUUUUUGGGAAUGAAAAGCGCUUGCAGUUGAGAAGAAAAAAAUGACGGUACCAACAGAAGAAGCAACGGCUAAAUACGUG
rnacentral:rRNA from 1 species